AAGUCGAGCGGAUCUUCUUGAGUAGCUUGCUACUCGAGAAGGUUAGCGGCGAACGGGUGAGUAACACGUAGGCAACCUGCCCAUAAGACCGGGAUAACAUUCGGAAACGAAUGCUAAGACCGGAUACGCAGGACUGGGGCAUCCCGGUUCUGGGAAACACGGUGCAAGCUGUGGCUUAUGGAUGGGCCUGCGGCGCAUUAGCUAGUUGGUGGGGUAACGGCCUACCAAGGCGACGAUGCGUAGCCGACCUGAGAGGGUGAACGGCCACACUGGGACUGAGACACGGCCCAGACUCCUACGGGAGGCAGCAGUAGGGAAUCUUCCACAAUGGGCGCAAGCCUGAUGGAGCAACGCCGCGUGAGUGAGGAAGGCUUUCGGGUCGUAAAGCUCUGUUGCCAGGGAAGAAUAAGGGCCAGUUAACUGCUGGUCCGAUGACGGUACCUGAGAAGAAAGCCCCGGCUAACUACGUGCCAGCAGCCGCGGUAAUACGUAGGGGGCAAGCGUUGUCCGGAAUUAUUGGGCGUAAAGCGCGCGCAGGCGGUUUCUUAAGUCUGGUGUUUAAGUGCGGGGCUCAACCCCGUGACGCACUGGAAACUGGGAAACUUGAGUGCAGAAGAGGAGAGCGGAAUUCCACGUGUAGCGGUGAAAUGCGUAAAGAUGUGGAGGACCACCAGUGGCGAAGGCGGCUCUCUGGACUGUAACUGACGCCUGAGCGCGAAACCGUGGGGAGCAAACCGGAUUAGAUACCCUGGGUAGUCCACGCCGUAAACGAUGAGUGCUAGGGGGUUUGGGGGGGGCCCACCCCUCGGGGCCGAAAUUAACNCAUUAAGCCCUCCGCCUGGGGGAGUACGGUCGCAAGACUGAAACUCAAGGAAUUGACGGGGACCCGCCCACCAGGGGAAUUUGGGGGUUAAUUCNAAACCACCGCAAG
rnacentral:rRNA from 1 species